rnacentral:lncRNA from 1 species
GAGAAUGCAUCAUAUACUAGUGCGCAGUGCACUUAGUGAUAUUCUCUGGAUUCCUUUUCCCGAACGAAUUGGAUGUUUGCCUGUGCCCGGACAAAGGGUCUUUUGGGGUGCUAUUCAAGGGAAAAACACGAGCUCCUCUGAAUCCCAUGAACCUAUUGCAGAUUUUAUUGGAUUUCUUCCCUCCAGACAUUCCCUUCAUUUCAUGCAUAUAAUUAUUGUAGGGCUUUGAUGAUGAUAUGAACUAGAGGGCAUUGCGACAAUACAAGGUGCCUGUGCUUGGUUUAGCCGUCUCCCUGUACAAGUAAUUAUUGCUGACCUGUACCACUAAAUUUUGAUCUAAAAAAUUUGCCUGUGGCAUUUAUUUUUUAUUGAACUGACG